UACGAAGGGUGCAAGCGUUACUCGGAAUUACUGGGCGUAAAGCGUGCGUAGGUGGUUUGUUAAGUCUGAUGUGAAAGCCCUGGGCUCAACCUGGGAAUUGCACUGGAUACUGGCAGGCUAGAGUGCGGUAGAGGAUGGCGGAAUUCCCGGUGUAGCAGUGAAAUGCGCAGAUAUCAGGAAGAACACCCGUGGCGAAAGCGGCUCUCUGGAACGGUACUGACGCUGAGACGCGAAAGCGUGGGGAGCGAACAGG
rnacentral:rRNA from 1 species